rnacentral:lncRNA from 1 species
UGCUGUUGGGACGUAGCGAUUGUAGGGCUACGUAUGAUGGCCUUGUGGCAGGGUAGCCAUAGCGAAGAAUGGGCUAUGUAUGUAGGCUCUCUGCUGUUGGGACGUAGCGAUUGUAGGGCUACGUAUGAUGGCCUUGUGGCAGAGUAGCCAUAGCGAAGAAUGUGCUAUGUAUGUAGGCUCCCUGCUGUUGGGCCGUAGCGAUUGUAGGGUUACGUAUGAUGGCCUUGUUUUAUUAUGUGUUAGAUAACGCUUAAGGAAAAGGUGAGAUAUAUGAGGUGGUAGAAAAAAUUUACAUACAGAUGUGUUAUUUUUAUGCUAACUGAAAGUCGUUGUAUACCUGUAUGCAAUCAACCUUGAGAUCGUGAGCUAGGCGGAGGCCGGCUAGAUGGCUUCGUAUUCAGAGCAAUUGUUAGUGGCGGGGAAGCAGAAUCUAAUGGAUUGCUGAAUUUGAAAGCACUCUUCAGUGGUCGGAGGACCUGGACCUUGCUCUUCGUCCAUGUCGGGGACUGCGGUUGCCAUAUGGGCAGUGGUGGGAGUUUUCUGAGACUCGAGACCUAGAGGAAGAACGUUUUGGCCGAUGAAGGUGGUCAUCUAGGCGGCCAAAUUAUCCACCUGCUCUUGUAGAUGUCGUUGUUGAGCUUCAUAUUGGUCGAAGCGAUCGAAAUUCGGGGAGUGAGAUGGUGAGGGAGUGAUGCUAUACGGGUGGUGAGAAGACUGAGAUGGUGAAGGUGCUAUACGGGAGUGAUGCUAUACAGGUGCUCGAUUCUUCGCUCACCUUUCUUCGUUUAGGGUUUUCUUCCUGGUCGUCGUGGUAUGGCGGUGAAUUUCACGGGUUUCUCUUUCUUUUCGAUCCCCAGCGGCGGCGCCAAUUGAUAGAUUUAGUUUCUGUCUUCUCUCUCUCUCUCUCCAGAAUGGGAGAGCCGUUCUUGUGUAUAUGUAUCUGUGUGUAUUUGUGCAAUUGAUGUUCUAAUUGUUUUCUCCCCCUUUCUUUUCUUUUUUCCUCUCCUUUUAUGUCUUAUUCUUCAUGAGUCAUUCCUCUUUUCCCUCUCCUUCUGCCAUCUGGGUGAUUCUACUGCUUAUAGGGUUGGUGACUA